rnacentral:lncRNA from 1 species
AUGCAUUGCAGUUCACAGCACCUGGUCACCUUUCAGACAAACCACCUUACUUACUUCCUAUUCUACAGCUGCGGAUUUCCUAUGCAUAGAAUCCUCCUCUGGGACUCACCAUACUGUGUGUGCAGGCUCCACUGGGCCCUCCAUGUUGCCUUGAGAGAUCUGAGGACUGGUGCGACAAUACUGAUACACCUGUUUCUCCUGCUGCAACUGGUAAAGUCCUUUGUCUCUGACUCAAGAGUCCCACGUCAGCAUCCAUGGAACUGCGACAGGCUUACUUAUCAACUUGUAUGGUUUUUUGUUGGAAGUUAUCCUGCUUCUGCGAUGUCAAAUUUAUUGAAAUUUGAAGCUGAAAGUAUGAUUCUGAGACAAGGACACGUACCCUUGAAAUACUACUUGGUUCGUGCUGGACAUUUAAAGGUCAUGUCAAGUAAUAUAAGCAUGAACAAAAAUACCAACUCUGAAAUUUUAAGUGCGUUUGGAGAAGGCAACUUCAUAGGGGAUUUUUAUGGUAUUCUUGUACAGACAGUACAACAAUAUCAAGAAACAUGCAACUUCCUAAGCUUCUUAGGGCUGAAGCCAGCCACCUGUUAGAGCCACUUGACUCCACUGUGUGCCUGUAGAAUGCUGAGAAAAGUUUAUUGGAGGAAUCUAGUUUUCUGCAAUCAGCCUGGGCUCACCAGACACACUCUAGCUCCGUUCUUCAUGUUUUGGUCUCUGGUAUUCCUCUGUCUCCUGGGGACCCUUCAGAAGCUAAGGUCUAGCUUGUUCAUCCAGCACUCCUCUGCCUCCAAAUACCAUAUCGAGGUAGGUCUGACUCUACUCCCCCUCCCAGAGCCACUGGAAGUGAAUUCAUGCUAUUUUUAAAAGUCUCUUUGUUGUCAUUUAGUAGCUAAGUUGUAUCCCAUUAUUUUGUGACCCCCUCCCCUGGCCUUUCAGGCUCCUCUGUCCAUGGGAUUUCCCAGGCAACAAUACUGGAGUGAGCUGUUAUUUCCUUCUCCAGGGGAUCUUCCUGACCCAGGGAUCAAACCUGCAUCUUCUGCAUUGGCAGGUGGGUUGUUCUCUGAGCCCCUGAGAAGCCCUUGCUGCUGCUGCUGCUAAGUCACAUCAGUCGUGUCUGACUCUGUGCGACCCCAUAGAUGGCAGCCCACCAGGCUCCCAUCCCUG